GAUGAAGAACGUAGCGAAAUGCGAUAAGUAAUGUGAAUUGCAGAAUUCAGUGAAUCAUCGAAUCUUUGAACGCAUCUUGCGCUCCUUGGUAUUCCGAGGAGCAUGCCUGUUUGAGUGUCAUUUAACUUCUCAACCACAUUGGAUAUUUUUUUUCCGAUGCCGGCUUGGAUGUGGGGGUUGUUUGCAGGCUUUUUGUAACAAAAAAGGUCGGCUCCCCUGAAAUGUAUUAGUGGUAUCUGAGGCUAUUACUAUUAGGUGUGAUAAUUAUCUAUGCCUUUUGGGUAUGCCGCAUGAACAGAUUAUGCUGCUUCUAACGAAAACUAUUUUGAUGAAUUUGACCUCAAAUCAGGUAGGACUACUCGCUGAAAUUAAGCAUAUCAAUAAGCGGAGGA
rnacentral:misc_RNA from 1 species